rnacentral:rRNA from 1 species
UGGAGCACCUUUCACACUGGGGGCCCCCCUGCUGCCGCGACGCCGCGUGAACGAAGAAGGUAUUCGUAUCGUAAAGUUCUGUCCUAUGGGAAGAUAAUGACAGUACCAUAGAAGAAAGCUCCGGCUAAAUACGUGCCAGCAGCCGCGGUAAUACGUAUGGAGCGAGCGUUGUCCGGAAUUAUUGGGCGUAAAGGGUACGCAGGCGGUUUAAUAAGUCGAAUGUUAAAGAUCGGGGCUCAACCCCGCAAAGCAUUGGAAACUGAUAAACUUGAGUAGUGGAGAGGAAAGUGGAAUUCCUAGUGUAGUGGUGAAGUACGUAGAUAUUAGGAGGAAUACCAGUAGCGAAGGCGACUUUCUGGACACAAACUGACGCUGAGGUACGAAAGCGUGGGGAGCAAACAGG